GCCGCCGCCGCCGCCCCCUCCCCGCCUGGGCCCUACCGCCGCACGGCCCCGGCCCCCUCCCAGCCUGCCGCUCCGGAGAGCCGCCCGCCGAGGAUGCGACGCACCGCAGAGAUGGGUCUCGCCAUCACCAUGUUGCCCAGUCUGGUCUCCAACUCCUGGGCUCAAGCGAUCCUCCUGCCUUGGUCUCCCAAAGUGCUGGGAUUACAGAGACAAGAUUUCGCCAUGUUGCCCAGGCUGGUCUCGAACUUCUGAGCUCAAGCGAUCUACCUGCCUCGUCCUCCCAAAGUGUUGGAAUUGCAGGUGUGAGCCACUGCACCCGGCCCUUGCCUCAUGUUUGAAUGAUAAUUUACCUGGGCAUAAAAUUCUGGACACUUGUGGUGGCACGAGUGUUCUAAGAACGGAAGCAUCUGGGCUGGAUGGAAUUUAGCAUCAAGCAGAGUCCCCUUUCUGUUCAGAGUGUUGUAAAGUGCAUAAAGAUGAAGCAGGCACCAGAAAUCCUCGGCAGUGCCAACGGGAAGACUCCGAGCU
rnacentral:lncRNA from 10 species